UUGUCCGGAUUUAUUGGGCGUAAAGCGCUCGCAGGCGGCUUGCUACGUCGUGCGUGAAACACCCCGGCUCAACUGGGGAGGGUCGUGCGAUACGGGCAGGCUGGAGGCCAGUAGGGGGAUGCGGAAUUCCGGGUGUAGUGGUGGAAUGCGUAGAGAUCCGGAGGAACACCAGCGGCGAAGGCGGCAUCCUGGACUGGUACUGACGCUCAGGAGCGAAAGCGUGGGGAGCGAUCCGG
rnacentral:rRNA from 1 species